UUAAUUGAAACCAAAUAGAGGUAUAUUACUGUUAAUGAUAUCAUUGAAUAAUUUAUUCCAAUUAAA
rnacentral:tRNA from 1 species